rnacentral:rRNA from 1 species
GAUGAACGCUGGCGGCAUGCCUAACACAUGCAAGUCGAGCGGAAGGACGGGAGGCUUGCUGGUGACGUGUUAGCAACGGGUGGGUAAGUAACCCGUGGAUGACCAACCUAUAAGAAUGGGGCAACUAAGGCACAGCGGAGCUAGUACCGGAUAAAAGUUUGAACCGAAGGGUUCGAAAGUGAAUGAGGGUCUUGCUGGCGCGUAUAGAGGUUUCCGAGCUGCUUUAGCUAGUUGGUAAGGUAACGUCUAACCAAGUCAACGAUGCAUAGCCGACCUGCGAGGGGGACCGGCCACACUGGGACUGGGACACGGUCCAGACUCCUACGGGAGGCAGCAGUAGGGAAUUUUGCGCAAUGGGCGAAAGCCUGACGCAGCAAUGCCGCGUGAAUGAUGAAGGUCUUCGGGUCGUAAAACACUGUUAUUAGGGAAGAACAGAUGUUUUAGUAAAAGUACACAUAAUGACGGUACCUUAACAAAAAGCAACGGCUAACUACGUG